rnacentral:rRNA from 1 species
UACGGGGGGAGCAAGCGUUGUUCGGAUUUACUGGGCGUAAAGGGCGCGUAGGCGGCGUGACAAGUCACUUGUGAAAUCUCCGGGCUUAACUCGGAACGGUCAAGUGAUACUGUCGUGCUAGAGUACAGAAGGGGCAACUGGAAUUCUCGGUGUAGCGGUGAAAUGCGUAGAUAUCGAGAGGAACACCUGCGGCGAAGGCGGGUUGCUGGGCUGAUACUGACGUGAGGAGCGAAAGUGUGGGGAGCGAACAGG